UACGGAGGGGGCUAGCGUUGUUCGGAAUUACUGGGCGUAAAGCGCGCGUAGGCGGCUAUUUAAGUCAGGGGUGAAAGCCCGGAGCUCAACUCCGGAACUGCCUUUGAGACUGGAUAGCUAGAAUCUUGGAGAGGCGAGUGGAAUUCCGAGUGUAGAGGUGAAAUUUGUAGAUAUUCGGAAGAACACCAGUGGCGAAGGCGGCUCGCUGGACAAGUAUUGACGCUGAGGUGCGAAAGCGUGGGGAGCAAACAGG
rnacentral:rRNA from 1 species